ncrna:unclassified sequences L4-Archaeoglobi ribosomal protein leader
CUGAUCGAGACGUCGGGCCAACGCCAGUGCAGCGAGCCCGUUUCCUGAGAGGAGAGCGUCGAAGAGUCAG